rnacentral:rRNA from 1 species
CAGCAGCCACGGGAAUACGGAGGGUGCAAGCGUUAAUCGGAAUUACUGGGCGUAAAGCGCACGCAGGCGGUCUGACAAGUCAGAUGUGAAAUCCCCGGGCUUAACCUGGGAACUGCAUUUGAAACUGUCAGGCUGGAGUCUUGUAGAGGGGGGUGGAAUUCCAGGUGUAGCGGUGAAAUGCGUAGAGAUCUGGAGGAAUACCGGUGGCGAAGGCGGCCCCCUGGACAAAGACUGACGCUCAGGUGCGAAAGCGUGGGGAGCAAACAGGAUUAGAGACCCCAGUAGUCCCUGUCUCUUAUAC